AAAUGAGAUAAUGUUGGCUCUCUUUGCAUCCUACAGGUCCAGGUUCUUUACAGGUCUCUGUUAAAGCACCAAGAGGAACAGACUAGGGUAGCUCUGUUGGAACAAAAGAUGCAGGCAUGCACUUUAGACUUUGAAAAUGAAAAACUUGAUCGUCAGAAUAUGCAGCACCAACUGCACGUGAUUCUUAAGGAACUCCGAAAAGCAAGAAGUCAGAUAACACAGUUGGAAUCCUUGAAGCAGCUUCAUGAGUUUGCCCUCACAGAGCAAACUCACCAGGGAGAGCCUGAAAACAGAGUAAAAGUCACCUCACCAAAAAGUCCCACUGCUGCACUGAAUGAAAGCCUGGUGGAGUGUCCCAAGUGCAGUGUACAGUAUCCAGCUGCUGAGCACCGAGAUCUGCUUGUCCAUGUUGAGUACUGCACGAAGUAGUGGAACCCAUCCUUGUGUUAUGCCAAAGGUUCCAUGCUGUUUCCUAGUUUGCUUGUGGGCACUCUGAAGCACAUACUCUGUCUCUUGCACAAGACACUGCCUGUCUGCUGCUGGCACUCUUGGCAUGCCAGGGGUCCUGUGUUUCUCUGGCUGCUUUGCAUUUUCUUUGGCAGUGAUACCUCCCCAAGAUGGCUUAUCGUCAGGCUGCAAAAUGUUGUGAGCACUAAGUACUAAGACUACUAGCACUUCACACUGUUAAGAUAGGAUGAAGACGGGCUGUUCAGGUUUUUGCUUAUGGCUUAAAUCUGUUGACCAGCAAGCAGUUGUUUUCUGGGGUUUAAGAAAUCAAAAGUAAUUACAUUAACCAGGGAGCUUACCAUGUUGAUGGUUUUUAUAUAGUGUUUAGCAUACUGACAGUUCCAGUUUUGAUAUCCAUUGUUAAAAAAUGGUAAUGUUUUCAUUUACCCUUUGCUAUUGUACAACGGUUAUUAGAAAAGUUGGGAAUUUUUGUAAUUGUUAUUGCCAUUUACUGUUGAAGCUUUAUAAACCCAGCUCUGUUCUAAGCACAAAGCAGAUUUUGUUUGAGGAAUACUUUUAAGUAGCUGCACAAUAUUUUCUCUCAUACUGUCUGAUUAUAACGUUAACUUAAAUUUCAUUGGCACAGGUUGGUUACCUAAAAUUGUUAAUAAUCUAUUUUAACAACAUUAGAUUUCUCGUUUGUAUUGCAGGUAUUUUCUUAUUCUUGUGUUUUGGCAUUCUUAAAGAUGGGCUGGCAAUGUAAUUAUCAGAUAUUUGUUUCUCUGAAUAGAUGUUUUUUUAUAUAUCCUUUAUGUAAGCCAAAAAUGUUUUCUUUCUUCAGAUUUUCAAACAUGCUUAAAUCUGUGCUAUUGGUAGCAAUAUAAAGGAGGAAAUAGUAAUAAGUUUUACUAUGUCAUGUGUGUGUGUGUGUGUGUGUGUGUGUAUGUGUGUGUGUGUGUGUGUGUGUGUGUAUUGAUAGUCUUAAGAUUUCUACUCCAAGUGGAGUGUUGAGGUUCUGGAUUAAUACAAGUUAGAAGAUGCCAGGCUAGUUAAGGAGACACCAGAGUCAGCCACUCUGAGGGAGGUAAUGGAGCCUUCCGGGUACCUCUGCUGAAGAGAUAAUAACUCUUGAGCUAUUGGAAUUUUUUGACCAUAAAAACUGUAGAGAUCUGUUUAUAUAAGUAAAAUUUUGCCUUAGGAGUUACUAAUCCCAUGUUCCUAAUACCUUCAACCACAGUUGGACAAAAGAUAAAGGAAUAUUUUUUAGCCAGGCAUGGCAGUGCACUCCUUUAAUCCUAGCAGAGACAGGUAGAUUGAGGUCUACUUAGUGAGUUCCAGGCCUACUGGGGCUACCAGGAGA